CGUGGCCGUGGGCGAUGGUGGCGCGCGGCUGGUGGUCUUGAGCCACCACGCUUCGCGCUCCGGUUGCGAGGCCUCGA
rnacentral:tRNA from 1 species